UCAAUAUAGAAAGGGCAGAUUAAAAUAAACCAGGCAUUUUUGAGACGUCAAAUAAGGGACCUAAUACACUGUAUGAAAAUGAAUUCAAAUGAACUCUGACAUAAAUUGAAUAAUUUUAUUCGCCAAAAAUAAGGCUAUUAGAUAAUUCAGAUCCCUAGUCAAAUCGAGUGCUCCUGCCUUGUUUACUUUACUCUGCCGUGAUUGGGUUUU